rnacentral:rRNA from 1 species
GGCGAACGCUGGCGGCAGGCUUAACACAUGCAAGUCGAGCGGGCGUAGCAAUACGUCAGCGGCAGACGGGUGAGUAACGCGUGGGAACAUACCUUUUGGUUCGGAACAACACAGGGAAACUUGUGCUAAUACCAGAUAAGCCCUUACGGGGAAAGAUUUAUCGCCGAAAGAUUGGCCCGCGUCUGAUUAGCUAGUUGGUGAGGUAACGGCUCACCAAGGCGACGACCAGUAGCUGGUCUGAGAGGAUGAUCAGCCACAUUGGGACUGAGACACGGCCCAAACUCCUACGGGAGGCAGCAGUGGGGAAUAUUGGACAAUGGGCGCAAGCCUGAUCCAGCCAUGCCGCGUGAGUGAUGAAGGCCCUAGGGUUGUAAAGCUCUUUUGUGCGGGAAGAUAAUGACGGUACCGCAAGAAUAAGCCCCGGCUAACUUCGUGCCAGCAGCCGCGGUAAUACGAAGGGGGCUAGCGUUGCUCGGAAUCACUGGGCGUAAAGGGUGCGUAGGCGGGUCUUUAAGUCAGGGGUGAAAUCCUGGAGCUCAACUCCAGAACUGCCUUUGAUACUGAGGAUCUUGAGUUCGGGAGAGGUGAGUGGAACUGCGAGUGUAGAAGUGAAAUUCGUAGAUAUUCGGAAGAACACCAGUGGCGAAGGCGACUCACUGGCCCAUUACUGACGCUGAGGCGCGAAAGCGUGGGGAGCAAACAGGAUUAGAUACCCUGGUAGUCCACGCUGUAAACGAUGAGUGCUAGUUGUCGGCAUGCAUGCAUGUCGGUGACGCAGCUAACGCAUUAAGCACUCCGCCUGGGGAGUACGGUCGCAAGAUAA